GUCGGGGCCUAAUGGUUAAAGUGUCAGACCUGUAACCCGAAGGUGAGCCUGAAGGUUGUGGGUUCGAGUCUCAGGUCCGGCA